rnacentral:rRNA from 1 species
AUUGAACGCUGGCGGCAGGCCUAACACAUGCAAGUCGAGCGAGUGGCGGACGGGUGAGUAAUGUAUGGGAAACUGCCUGAUGGAGGGGGAUAACUACUGGAAACGGUGGCUAAUACCGCAUACUAUCGGAUGAACCCAGAUGGGAUUAGCUAGUAGGUGGGGUAAAGGCUCACCAAGGCGACGAUCCCUAGCUGGUCUGAGAGGAUGAUCAGCCACACUGGGACUGAGACACGGCCCAGACUCCUACGGGAGGCAGCAGUGGGGAAUAUUGCACAAUGGGCGCAAGCCUGAUGCAGCCAUGCCGCGUGUAUGAAGAAGGCCUUAGGAUUGUAAAGUACUUUCAGCGGGGAGGCGUUACCCGCAGAAGAAGCACCGGCUAACUCCGUGCCAGCAGCCGCGGUAAUAC